GAGGGGCGGGGCCUGUCCGCUGUUUGUAAACACAGGUGUCGCGAGUUGUGUUUGUCCGCGCGUUCUAAUCGCAACCGCCGAGUAACGGCCGCGGCGCGAGGGACAGUGGGUACAUGUAGAUACCCAGUUCAUCCUGAAGUGGAGUGGGAGGGGGUUUGGAAAGGAGGAGGCAACAGGAGGUGCCUCCAGCGAAAGGAAAGAUGCCGUUCUUAGGGCAGGACUGGCGAUCUCCGGGAGGGUACUGGGUGAAAUCCGAGGACGGCUGGAAACGCUUCGAGUUUUACCGAGACGACGAUGACGACGAGGAGGAGGAGAGCGAGAGCAGCAGCAACCGGCGCCAACUGGAGAUCGGACAAUUGCAGGAAGAGAGCCAGGAAAAUAGAAUUAUUGGGGAAGAUUGUGAGGUGAUAGUGAAAAAGAGGAAGAAAGACCACUUCAAUAACAACACGAAGACUCAAUACUUCUGUCAGGAAAAGUGGAUCUAUGUCCAUAAAGGAAGCACCAGAGAAAGACAUGGUUAUUGUACACUAGGAGAAGCAUUUAACCGCUUAGAUUUUUCAAGUGCAAUUCAAGACAUAAGAAGAUUCAACUACGUUGUUAAACUUUUGCAGCUUAUAGCAAAUUCACAGCUGACCUCUUUAAGUGGAGCUGCACAGAAGAACUACUUCAAUAUUUUGGAAAAGAUUGUUCGGAAAGUGCUUGAAGACCAGCAGAAUCCUCGACUAAUCAAAAACCUUCUUCAGGAUUUGGGUUCUGCCCUCUGCAUCUUAAUCCGUGAGGUGGGAAGGUGUGUCCUUGUUGGGAACGUUAACAUCUGGGUUUGCCGUAUGGAAACUAUUCUGAAUUGGCAACACCAGUUAAAUAAUCUGCAAAUUACCCGGCAAAUGAAUAAUGGAGCAACACUGAGUGACCUUCCACUUCACAUGCAGAACAGCAUCCUAUAUAGGUUUUCUGAUGGUCUGGAUAUUGUCAGUUUAGGUCAGGUGACUUCUACUCUGCACAUGCUCAGUGAAGAUAGACAUCUGUGGAAAAAACUUUGCCAGUACCAUUUUGCAGAAACACAGUUCUGCAGACACCUGAUUCUGACUGAGAAUGGUUGUGUUGACUGGAAGCUUAUGUAUUUCACACUACAAAAAUAUUGUCCAAAAAAGGAGCAAUAUGGUGAUGCCCUACAGUUCUGUCGCCAUUGCAGUAUUUUGUUCUGGAAGCACAUGAGCCUGUUUCUGCUGUAGUGAUGCUGGUGGAUGGAACAUCUGUCUACCAGCACUAUGAUACCAAUCAUGUGUACGUUGCAAGAUCAAAUUUAAUCAUGCACCAAAAGUGCAACUCCUGCAUAACACUGAGCAGCAGCCUAAAUUGCUGAGGGGAGAUUGUUAAAGAAUUUUCCACCUUGAGUUUGCUGCAAGUGAGAAUUGGCAAUAACGGUACAAUGUUGAUUAGAGAGAAGAAUUAUAUUUCGGCAUCACCUCCUGGAAGCUUGUUAAAUGCAUAUCAAUAAAUUCUACAUUUCCAAAUGUGGCCUUGAAACAUCUCGAGCUGGUCCAUCAUCGACUGCUUCAAGAACUACUUCUAUCGUCCUGUAUCCAGGAUUCUGAAAACUGCACUCCAGCACUGCUCUCAAGGAGAACUCCAACUUCGCCAAAUAAAAUCUGCUCCUGGGUUUUCCUUGAGCUUUAAUACUUCUUAGUUGCAUCAAACAAACACUUCUUAAUGACUUUUUCAGUUCCACUCUCUCAGCUGCACUGAACAAUUCUCAGGAUUCUUCAGGGUCCCUCAUGGCUUUCACUAACACAGAGGCAAGGACCUUCCCACUUUUCACAGUUCUCAGAGCUUCCUCUUUGCUGCUUACCAAUCCCUCAAAAAUUGGUAAUGCAAACAUGGAGUCUGCACCAGCUGUUUCUCUUUGUCCCACAAUCUUGAGGUCUCGAACUGCUUUUCAGUGAUCACCACGAGUGGCCUUUUGGAAACAUUGCUAUAAAUCUACUCUCAUCAAAAUUAAAUGAUGCCAUGUAGCUAGUCUUGAACCUUCUGUACCCGGUUACAAUGUGACCAUUUUACAGAAUGCUAGCUUUAUGUAGAGAAUUCUUACCAAAAGGGAAUUUGUCACAAAGGAAAAAGCAAUGAUCUGUGACUUAAUCAUAUAAUGAGGGUAAUUGACAAUGAAUGAUUCAAUCUCAUCAUGAUUUGGUUUGGAAGGUGUAGAAUCUGUGUGGUUAGAGGUGAGGAACUGCAAAGGAACCGAAAGACCCUGAUGGGAGUUGUGUAUAGGUCUCCUAACAGUAAUCAGGAUGUGGGCAGAAGAUAAAUCAGGAGAUAGAAAAGGCAUGUGAGAAAGGCACUAUUUACAAGAUGCCAAAUUUCUGGUUCUUAAUAAAUUCACACAUCAGCUUGAUUUGUAAAGGUUAUUAAUUAUUAGUGUUGAAUAAAUUGAGGACCAACGUUAUGAAUGGUAAACAAUCCCUCUCAUCCUUCUCAAACUAUCUAGUCUUUGACAGUUAACCAGACCGCUUCCAGCACCUCACCUUCAACGUCAUAAUCAAAGAAUCACCUGAAAUGGUUUCUCUUUCUGCUCCAUUACCUCUUUGACACACCCCUUUAUUUCUAAUUUGAAAACACAUUAAGUGGAACAGAUACUCUGAUGAUGACAAGUUCUAUCUCACUGACAUCUUAUCCGACAUAACCCCUUAUUCUGAUUUGUUUCAUUGUUCGCAUGACAUCCAACAUCGUACAAACGGAAAUUCCCUCAAUAAAUGAGAAGGUCAAAGCCUUUGGUAACUGCCAUGUGCCAAUUUCCAACAUGCAAGUCCAUGCCUUUUAUAGAGUCAUAGAGUCUUACAGUAGAGAAACAGAACCUUCAGUCCAAGCCAAACGUAAUCCUAAACUAAAUGAGUCCCACCUGCCUGCUUCU